GAAAUAUUAAAAAAGGUUAAUAUGAAGCAAAGUAUAUUCCAAUUACAUUUCAAUGUGUUACAACGGUAAUAAUCAUGUCUAGCAUAUAAUUAUAUCAAUUGUAGUCCAACUGAAAUGUCGGCCGCCAGGCUUAGUCCAGUGGGUAAGACAUCCCUCACUCUGGCCAAUGUCUAGAGUUUGAGAUUUUGAAAUGCAGAAAAAAAUCCAAGUGAAAUUGAGGAUGAAAUUAGCAAUUUCUUAUCUUUGAGAUUAUGAUAUGGAAAAGAAUCCAUUUUAAAGAAGCCAGAGUACUGGAAGGACUUCAAAGUUCUACAAGAUUUGGAAACAAUUUCUCAGUUACAAGCAUACACAAUCUCAUGAUCCAAUUCUAUCUAAAACAUAAUCAUCCCACACCUAUCAAACACCCAGAAAGAGAUUUUUUUUUUUUAUUUUAAUCUUCAUCCACAUUUUCAUUUCAUUUCUUAGCAAGAGGAGGAAAAAAAGGGUUAAAAAUAGUGAAAAUUAAGAAAAAUACCAAUAUCCUUUCAGGCAGAAAUGAAGAUCAGAUGACCUUUAUUGGAAUUGAAGCAGCAGAGGGUUCGACAUCAGCAGCCUUGGGAUUUGGGUUGGGAUUGGGAUGGUGUUCUUGGAGAUCUGGAUCAGGGUUAGGGUUGAGAGGGGCGCGGACGUCAGAAGAAACGGUAUCGUCGUCGGGGUCGUAAUCGGGAUUAAGAGAUCGAUCAAUAGCUUGACGGCCUUUUUCCAGACAAGGUUUGCAGGCGAUCUCUAUAGCUAUCCAUCCAAGUACGAGUCCUGCCACUGCUGUCAAUGCACUCGUUAUCGCUUCCAUUUUCCAAUUCUUCUCUCAAUAAAAUCGUUUGCUUCGAGAGAAAUUCCUUGAUCUUUCUCGCCGGAAAUGGACACUUGCGUUUCGUUGAUACUUUC
rnacentral:misc_RNA from 1 species